AACGCACAUUGCGCCCGCCAGUAUUCUGGCGGGCAUGCCUGUCCGAGCGUCAUUUCAACCCUCGAACCCCUCCGGGGGUACGGCGUUGGGGAUCGGCCCUUUACGGGGCCGGCCCCGAAAUACAGUGGCGGUCUCGCCGCAGCCUCUCCUGCGCAGUAGUUUGCACACUCGCAUCGGGAGCGCGGCGCGUCCACGUCCGUAAAACACCCAACUUUCUGAAAUGUUGACCUCGGAUCAGGUAGGAAUACCCGCUGAACUUAA
rnacentral:misc_RNA from 1 species